CUCCACCCCCACUAGCUCAGAGAGAAGGCAGCCUUAUUCUCAGGUCUUUUUCAAAAGGGGAAGUCCAAACUACAGAGCAAGAAAUGUUCCUUUGAGAAAGACCCCAUGAAGAAACAGUAUGAGAAGAGAAGCAUAUUAGGUGUUUGAGCCACUGCAUGUACAGGAUUUAAAACCAUUUGCUACUUAAAGCAGGGUUCCACACAAAUGACAUCACUCACAGAGCAGAAACAGACCAAAAGAAUUCAUAAUCUGAACAGUCUGAUGAGCCUGCUUCCACAACAACAGAUUUGGCUUUGAACAAAGAGUAGUGAGUAAUAAAAUAAAUACAGCCAGGA